rnacentral:lncRNA from 1 species
UCCUCUGCCCUCCUAUCUUUCACUCUUCGAAUCAUUGACGGUAUUUGUGGUGAGACGAUUUUUGCAGUCGGACUGAAAUCAAUAUGAUGUGCAACAUUUUCCAGAUCUUCAGAUGCAUAUUUUUUCCUUAUGGUCAUGUUCUCUUCAAUUCGAUCUACAGUGGCCGCAGCUAAUGCCCAGUACUCUAGGGAUGUUAUUUGGGUACUAGGUUGUUUUACCUUCAUUCUUCUUACAGUCUCG